AUCUGGGGCAUGCGCAGUGUCACUUCAAUCAGGAGAGGACUUCAUGGAGCUUGUUUCUCCGGCGGAAGCGAUCAACGGCAGAAAGAGGAGUACGGAACCCUUGUGGGCCGGCAAUGAGCGGAGACAUUUCAUCAAUACUUCGUGUAUGAAAAGAAGUGGAUUUGAAGUCAGGCUACUGAAAUCAGGCAUCGCAGUGUGAUCUGAUGGUGCCAACCAAUUCAUCACAACUAGACUAUCAACAGAUUUUAAACAUGGAAGGAGAAAGCACUGUUCACAGUGGGGAGAACAGAUACAUAUGUUCUGUGUGUAGAGAAGGCUUCAGCCAAUCAAGUGGCCUCAAGAACCACAAGUGCAAUCAUGCUGGGGAGAAACCGUGGAAAUGCGGGUACUGUGAGAAAGGGUUCAGUCACCGUUCUGCACUUGAAAUUCAUCAACGUGUUCACACUGGGGAAAGGCCAUUCAUCUGCUCCCUUUGUGGGAGGGGAUUCACUCAGUUAUCCACUCUGUUGAAACACCAGAGAGUUCACAGUGAGGAGAGACCUUUUAAAUGUCCAGACUGUGGGAAGUAUUUUAAAAGUUCCAGUGAUCUGAUGUCCCAUCGGCGUGUUCACACUGAGGAGAGACCUUAUAAAUGUCCAGACUGUGCGAAAUGUUUUAAAAGUUCCAGUGAGCUGAUGUCCCAUCGGCGUGUUCAUACUGGGGAGAGACGAUUCAGGUGCUCUAACUGUGGGGCUGGCUUCAAGUGGUCAUCUCAACUCACUGUUCACCAGCGCAUCCACACUGGGGAGAGGCCAUUCACCUGCUCUGAAUGUGGAAUUGGAUUCACUCAAUCAUCCCAUCUCAAGUCACAUCAGCAAGUUCAUACUGAAGAGAGACCUUUUAAAUGUACAGACUGUGGGAAGUGCUUUAAAAGUUCCCACUAUCUGCAGUCUCAUCAACGUGUUCACACUGAUGAGAGACCUUUUAAAUGUUCAGAGUGCGGGAAGUGCUUUAAGGGUUCUGGGGAGCUAAUCGUCCACCAACGUGUUCAUACUGACGAGAGACCAUUCAGAUGCUCUCAUUGUGGAAACGGGUUCAAGAGAUCAUCCCAACUCACUCUACACCAGCGUCUUCACACUGGGGAGAGGUCAUUCAUUUGCUCUGAAUGUGGGCAGGUAUUCAUGCGGUUCUCCACUCUGUUGAAGCAUCAGCGAGUUCAUUCUGGGGAGAGACCAUUCACCUGCAUUGAGUGUGGUAAGGGAUUUUGUGAGUCUUUCCACCUUAAGGCACACCAGCGAGUUCACACUGAGGACAGACCCUUCAAAUGUCCAGACUGUGGGAGGAGUUAUAAAAGCUCAGGGGAGCUGAAGUUGCACCAACGUGUUCACACUGAUGACAGACCAUUCAGGUGCUCUCACUGUGGGACUGGGUUCAAGUGGUCAUCUCGUCUCAAUGCACACCAGCGCACUCACACCGGAGAAAGACCGUUCACCUGCUCCGAAUGUGGGAAGAGAUUCACUCAGAAAAUUCACCUGUUGACACACCAGCGGGUUCACACAGGAGAGAGACCUUUUAAGUGUACACACUGUGGGAAGUGCUAUGUAAGAUCCUGGGAUCUGAUACGCCAUCAACACGUUCACUCUAAUGAGAGGCCUUUUCAAUGUCCAGAAUGAGGCAAGUGUUUUAAAAGUUCUGGGAAAUUGAUGCUACAAUGUUCACACCAAUGAGAGACCAUUCAGUGCCCUUACUGUGGGACUGGGUACAGAUGAUCUUCCCAACUCACUGUACACCAGUAUUUUCACAGUGAAGGAAAGCCAUUCAUCUGCACUGAAAGGAUUCCCUCAGAAAUUCCACUUGAUUGGCACACCUGCUGGGACAACUGUGAGUUUGAGUGAUUUCAGGAGUGUGUAUUUUUCUGUUAAUCACAUCCAGGAUAAAAGCAUACUAAAACAUCUAGCCCAGCUUUAUCUGAUAACACUUAAGAUAAAUAUUUGGAUUUUAACUGAACACAGUCUACUGAAUCUAUUUAAUAUCCAAACAAUUCCUUUGAAUAUAAAUCAGAAAACUAGAAGCCCAUGUGAUAUGGGCUGUAAGUAAGAAUAGAUGAUUUCAUUCCACAUGUAAAGUGGGAGCAGCUACUCAGCACAAAUGCUGUGGAGGGUGAAUAUCUGCAGUUCUUACUGAAGUAUUUUUGAAGGACCAAGCAGGAAUCAUAUUGUUUUAGGUUCUGUAAAGUGAAACUGUAAUUUAUAACUUUACUGUUAAGUAGCCUUUGUUGAAUACAGACCAGAAUGUGGAAUAUUCAAUCAAGUUUGGAAAUGAUAUAGUUCAUUCUGGAGUUAGGGUCUCAAACCUGAACAAUGUAAAUAUGAAGACUGGAAUGGCAAGUUGGCUGUGAGGGAUUGGAAAAGCGCAGUGAUUUGAAGGUACACAGGUAGUAAUAGGAUCCAAAGAUGUAUUGUAUGGAUUACAACAAUUAUGCAUUUCCUCAAAUCAAAAAUAGUGGUUUUGAAGGUUGCACAGAAAAGCAAUUAAACUGAGGCAUUUUUAAUCUAACAAAGGAUGAUCAAGAAACUAAUGAAAUAGAUGUAGGGAAGCUCUCAGGAAACAUAAAGGUGGACUGUAGAUGUUGCUUAGGUCCAUGAAUGCAAAAAAUGCAAAAGCCUCCCAGAUUGGCAUCCUCACUAUCAGCUUCAACAUGCACUCCCUCAUCACUGAUGCACAGUUGCAGAAAUGUGUACCAUCUACAAGGUACACUGUAGUAACUCACCAAGGCUCCUCCAACAGAACUUUCUCACAACCUGUCACUGACAAAGACAAAGACAGUACAUGCAUGGGAAUACCACAUCGCAAUUUUGCUGCCAACCCCUCUCCAUCAUAACUUGGGCCAAAUCACCUCCUUUCAAUGUCACAAGGUCAGGAAUACGGAACUCUCUUCUCAACAGCACAGUCAAUGCCUUGAUAGCCCAAAGACUGCAAAUAUUCAAGAAAUCAGAUCACCAGCACCUUUUCCUGGGCAAUUACAUUUAGGCAGUAAAAACUGGCAAAGCCAACAACACUCACAUCUCAUGAAUGAAUAAAAAAAUGAUAGGAGUGAUAUUUCACUGAGCAUUUGUAAAUGAUGUUUCAGGAAAAAUGGAUUAAACUGCUGUUUAUGUUAAGGUCUUUCAAAAUUGUCAUAUAUACAAAAUGUGUUGUUUAUUGAAAAAACAUUGGCAAUAUCAUGUGAAGAUGUUCAGUAUUUAACCACGAUCCUCUCCAAACUUCAAACAUAAAAUUUAUGAUCUAUCAAGCCAGGUUUCACUCAGAGAUCCAGUAAUACCAUCCAGUGGGAUCAUAACAUUUGGAGCAUGACAGUGAUCUAAUUAAAACUUACAUGAUUCUUACAGCGUGGAUGUCGCUCAGAUUUUUCCACUGGCAGGAUGCCAGAAGGGGAUGAUUUGCAGAAAGGAAUCUCAAAACAAACAACAUGUCAACAUGUGAGGAUGGGAGAUAGUGGGAACUGCAGAUGCUGGAGAAUCCAAGAUAACAAAGUGUGAAGCUGGAUGAACACAGCAGGCCAAGCAGCAUCUCAGGAGCACAAAAGCUGACGUUUCGGGCCGAGACCCCUCAUGUGAGGAUUGUGAAUUAAUUAACUAGAGCUUAAAUAGCCAUAAGUGGAGAAACAUACAUCUGUUCUGUCUGUAUUGAAGUUUUUAAACAUCAAUUUAAUUCAAAAAACAGAUGCACACCCUAAAUUAAGAGUCUUUCAGUAAACUGAUUGUGGAAAUAGUUUCAAUCAGUUGCAUGGCCUGAAGAAGCAUUGCAACAUUCUCUGUGAGUAAAGACAUACACAUUUGUGUCUGUGUAUACGGGUGGUGUGAAUUGACUGUUGAACUUUCAGACACACAACCACAUGCUCAAAUGGAGAAACCAUGGAAUCCUAGAAUGCCUACUGUGUGGAAACAGGCAUGUCAGCCUGUCCAAUCACCUAGCCUGCACAUCCCCGGACACUAUGGGCAACUUAACAUGGCCAAUCCGCCUUACUUGUUCUUUGGACUGUGGGAGGAAACCAGAGAACCCAUGCAGACACAGGGAGAAUGUGCAAACUCCACACAAACAGACAGUCACCUGAGCUUGGAAUCAAACCAAGGAUCCUAGUACUGUGAGGCCGCAGUGCUAACCACUGAACCACCUUGCUGACAAGUUUGAAGAUAAUAGGAAAGGAUUCCAUGUGCUGUCAAUACUGGAAUUUCAUCAGCUUGGUCACACCACGUAGUGAGCAGGUGAAAGGCCUCUAUGUGGAAUGGGAUUCCCUGACUUGUGUACCCUAGGGAAACACCAGUGUUCUGCCCCUAGAGAGCUGUUGAGAAUGGGAAGAAAUUCAGAGAAUGUUCAAAUCUGCUGCAAACUUUAAUACCCACAGCCUAUUCAGAUUCCAUGCAUGAACCAGCCGGAUCCCAGACUCAAGCCCGCAAUCUCUAACAAAGCAGAUGUUGAUGCUGCUUUCCCCCCAUUCUAUCCCCAAUAAUUAAAGCUGAAACACCUACAGAGGCUUGACUCGCCUCCUGAUCAUUUAAAAGAUGUGUGAAAAGUGCUAUAACCUGCCUCUCACCCCUUGAUCUGUUCGAAAGGAGUGGUUAAAUGAAAUGAAAUCCUUUCACUCACUCUCUAAUCAACAAAUAACAAUUUAUCUAACUCUAACAGUGAACAAAUUAACAGAACUACUAACAAAUCUAACAAUUCCCCCAACUACACCUAUACCCAAAUAAAACAAAAGUACCCCACCAAUCUACGAGCCAUGUAGCUUCGUCUCCUAAAACGUUAUGUUUCUUGUAGGAGGCUCACCACAUUGAGGAACAAAGUGAUACAAAAAUUUGUCCUGCGCCUUCCAACUGCUGUCAAUGCUGAGGAUAUCUUCAUGGCUGCAGUAUGUGCCACAAACACCAUUUAAGACAAUGAACUCAAACUUAAUGAGAAGGGAAGGGCUCCUUUUUCCUUCCACUUCCCGAGGACACUACAAAGGAAUCCCUGGCACCACCACUUACACAUUUUUGUCCGUUCCUGGAUAUGACUUGAAGUGGUGGAGAAUUCCACCUAUCUAUAGCCAACCACAGUCUGUCUCAGCGACAAAGCAUCACUACCAAAAAGUCCUGAUGGGGAAUGGCAGGGGGGCUGGUGGGGACUUUGUCCACUAGCACCUUGUUUCUCUCAACUUCGUCUAACUCAGUGGUGCUCACAAUCGACACCAGCCCUCCUCCAGGUCAUUGCCUCCGACCCCUGACCCAUCCCUACAUCAAGUGUGGGGGUUAGGCCGGGAUCACUGUAUGGUCCCUGCCAUCCCCAGGAUCAAAGGCAGGAGGAUUCUUUGCAGGGACCAUCUAGGUCUUGGAUUAUAGCAGACUCAACUAAAAUGUUGACUAAAAUGUCAGGCCCCUGGCAACCUACUCGACUCCUGGUGCCAGGCCACCAUGUCUGGGAAAGGAUCCUCAGUAAAGGGCACGGCUGCCUGACAUAAAAGGCCUGUUUCCUUCAUUCCUAUCAUCCAAGGUUCCCUCAAGGUAACUAUCUCCACCACAGUGCAAAGGCAGCAAUGAAAUAAA